rnacentral:rRNA from 1 species
GACGAACGCUGGCGGCGUGCCUAAUACAUGCAAGUAGAGCGCUGAAGAGAGGAGCUUGCUCUUCUUGGAUGAGUUGCGAACGGGUGAGUAACGCGUAGGUAACCUGCCUUGUAGCGGGGGAUAACUAUUGGAAACGAUAGCUAAUACCGCAUAACAAUGGAUGACACAUGUCAUUUAUUUGAAAGGGGCAAUUGCUCCACUACAAGAUGGACCUGCGUUGUAUUAGCUAGUAGGUGAGGUAAUGGCUCACCUAGGCGACGAUACAUAGCCGACCUGAGAGGGUGAUCGGCCACACUGGGACUGAGACACGGCCCAGACUCCUACGGGAGGCAGCAGUAGGGAAUCUUCGGCAAUGGGGGCAACCCUGACCGAGCAACGCCGCGGGAGUGAAGAAGGGUUUCGGAUCGUAAAGCUCGGUUGUAAGUCAAGAACGGGUGUGAGAGUGGAAAGUUCACACUGUGACGGUAGCUUACCAGAAAGGGACGGCUAACUACGUG